rnacentral:rRNA from 1 species
AGUGAACGCUGGCGGCGUGCUUAACACAUGCAAGUCGAACGGAAACAGAUAGAAGCUUGCUUCUAUGCUGUCGAGUGGCGCACGGGUGAGUAAUGUAUAGUUAAUCUGCCCCUUAGAGAGGGAUAGCCACUGGAAACGGUGAUUAAUACCUCAUACUCCUAUAUAUAUAAAGUAUAUAGGGAAAUGUCUUUUCGCUAAGGGAUGAGACUAUAUGGCAUCAGGUAGUUGGUGGGGUAAUGGCCCACCAAGCCAAUGACGCCUAGCUGGUCUGAGAGGAUGAUCAGCCACACUGGUACUGAGACACGGACCAGACUCCUACGGGAGGCAGCAGUGGGGAAUAUUUGCACAAUGGAGGAAACUCUGAUGCAGCAACGCCGCGUGGAGGAUGACGCAUUUCGGUGUGUAAACUCCUUUUAUAUGGGAAGAUAAUGACGGUACCAUAUGAAUAAGCACCGGCUAACUCCGUGCCAGCAGCCGCGGUAAUACGGAGGGUGCAAGCGUUACUCGGAAUCACUGGGCGUAAAGCGCGCGCAGGCGGCUUAAUAAGUUGGAUGUGAAAUCCUAUGGCUCAACCAUAGAACUGCAUCCAAAACUGUUAAGCUAGAGUCUGGGAGAGGAAGAUGGAAUUAGUUGUGUAGGGGUAAAAUCCGUAGAGAUAACUAGGAAUACCAAAAGCGAAGGCGAUCUUCUGGAACAGUACUGACGCUGAGGCGCGAAAGCGUGGGGAGCAAACAGGAUUAGAUACCCUGGUAGUCCACGCCCUAAACGAUGAAUGUUAGUCGUUGGAGCUCUAGUAGCUUCAGUGAUGCAGCUAACGCAUUAAACAUUCCGCCUGGGGAGUACGGUCGCAAGAUUAAAACUCAAAGGAAUAGACGG